UUCCCAGAAAGGAAGACUUUGUACUGCACCGUCUCCACGGCAACGUGAGGCGCCAUCAUGGGAGACUCCAAGAGGCCUGUGUCAAACAACCAGGCUUAAAGCGUGUUGAUUGGAUUUCAGUCGGGUAGGAUGUGUUGAUUUCAAGAUUACGAAUGGAGAUGGCUUCCCUGCGGCCUUUAACCUUCAGGAUCCCAUCGUCUCCCAUCGAUGCGGUCAAAGACAUUGGGUCCAUGGCCACAGGCAACCUACAUGUAUGUGAGAAGCUCCAACAGAAAGGGGAACUGAUGAAAGCCAAAACCCUGAUCCACAUGUUCCCCGGGAACGCUAUUCUGAGGAACAGAGGAUGAACAAGACCUCCCUGCCUUCAACUAUUUCAAGCACUACUCUAGUUUAGUGCCUCGUGUCUGCGAGAAAGUGAAAGACAUCUUCAGACGACCAGGCCCGUUGUCGUUUGAAGUGUUGGAAAUGUCUGCUGAGGUAUAAAUACUCACCCCAUCCUCAUAUGGCGAGGUCAACCACCCAAGCUCUCCUCCUGCUGCAUUCAUAUCCAGUAAGACUUCUACAAGGGAACACAAAA